rnacentral:rRNA from 1 species
GACGGAGGAUGCAAGUGUUAUCCGGAAUCACUGGGCGUAAAGCGUCUGUAGGUGGUUUAAUAAGUCAACUGUUAAAUCUUGAGGCUCAACCUCAAAAUCGCAGUCGAAACUAUUAGGCUAGGGUAUAGUAGGGGUAAAGGGAAUUUCCAGUGGAGCGGUGAAAUGCGUAGAUAUCCGGAGGAACACCAGUGGCGAAGGCGACUUCCUGGCCUGUUCUUGACGCUGAGGCGCGAAAGCUGGGGGAGCAAACGGG